GCUCCAAUAGCGUAUACUAAAGUUGUUGCAGUUAAAAAGCUCGUAGUCGAAUGAAGGUUUCUUGAAUUGCGCGAACUUCUAAGUGUAACUUAGACUAGUUUGCGCACAAGAACCUCCUUAUGUGUCUUAAUAGAUCCAAUUUAUUUUUGGAUCUAAUCAGUCACAUGCAUUACUGUGAACAAAAUAGAGUGUUCAUGGCA
rnacentral:rRNA from 1 species